rnacentral:lncRNA from 1 species
GAAACAUGUCAGUACAUAUAGCAUUUUAGUACCUUCUUUUCCUAAAUUGUAAGUUAUAGUCAAAUUGAAGACAAAUACCCUGUAGGCUUUUUGUGAUCAUCUUAUUGUGUUAUUCCUCCUAAGGAGCAAUUUGAGAGGUGGCUACUGCUUCAUUUAUGUGCACAAAUCCAUAUAUUGACUCCUUUAAAUUAUUAUACUUUGUAAACUACCAGCAUUUUCUUCCUUGUUUCUCUUUCUAUUGCUUCUCUCUGCUGAAGCAAGCCUACUUGUCUUCUUAAUAUCCAGGGUGAAGGUAACAAGCUGCACCUGCACCAGUUAGUCAGCAGAAACAAAUUACAAGGUCCCUACAGGGUUCCCAGGUAUACCAAGAGAAGUUCAAUCCAGACAGUCUGCAAAUGCUGUUUAUUAAGACGUGCAAAAUUAACAUCUGUUCUCAACUGCUUUUCUUUUCACAGGAACACAGAUAGGCCUUAGGCGGGAACCAGAUGCUUCAGCUUUACUUUCAAGUGGAAUCCAGUUUUCCAUUGAACUCAAGGUCGAUCAACACAACAGGCAACUGUAGAGGAGACAGCUGGAUUUCUGUCAUAGCUGGGGCAAAAUUCAACUCCCAGGUUCCUGCAAACCUUCCAGUCUGGUGUUUUUCUCCAGAUGUACAAGUACAGUCUGCCCCUUGCCAGCUCCAGGGAACUGUGAAUUUUCCUUUGCAGUGAACAAGAAGAACUAGAAACUCCUUCUGUUAUUGAUGUUGGAUCUGAGUGUUGGCUGAAGCGGGAUGAGAGGGCACCCCCGUCACCCCAUGGCCUCAUAUUCAAUGUAUGUGAGGUCUUUAUUUAGAGAAGAUGAAAUUGUCAUGUUUCUAAGUGUGGGGUUGUCACUCCCCUGGAAAUCUGUAUUCAUAAAAAGAGGGGUGUGUAUCCUCUUAGUUUUGUUGAGAAAUUGAUCUGUGGAGUAUUCACUCUCUUCCACAAAGAAACACCUUGAUAAACAGCUGAUGUUUUGAUUUUCUGUGCAGUUUCCUUCUGUUAUUAGUAAUUCUAUUUAUUUAUUUAUUUAUUCUUUUCCCACAAACAACAGCAUAUGGCAUAGGAGUGUGGGCUUUUUAAUACAAAGCUACAAUGUAAGCUAAAUCAUUUUUGAAUCCUCGCAUUGUGUUUAUUCAAGAUAUUCUUAGGGCAGAAUAACUUUUAUCUGUGUAGAAACAAAGCCUCAAAU